UACAGAGGUCUCAAGCGUUGUUCGGAUUCAUUGGGCGUAAAGGGUGCGUAGGCGGCGCGGUAAGUCGGGUGUGAAAUCUUGGAGCUUAACUCCGAAACUGCAUUCGAUACUGCCGUGCUUGAGGACUGGAGAGGAGACUGGAAUUUACGGUGUAGCGGUGAAAUGCGUAGAUAUCGUAAAGAAGACCAGUGGCGAAGGCGGGUCUCUGGACAGUUCCUGACGCUGAGGCACGAAGGCCAGGGGAGCAAACGGG
rnacentral:rRNA from 1 species